rnacentral:rRNA from 1 species
CCUACGGGAGGCAGCAGUAAGGAAUAUUGGACAAUGCUCGCAAGAGUGAUCCAGCCAUGCCGCGUGCAGGAAGAAUGCCCUAUGGGUAGUAAACUGCUUUUGAACUAGAGAAAAUCCCAGUACGUGUACUGGGCUGAUAGUAUAGUUAGAAUAAGCAUCGGCUAACUUCGUGCCAGCAGCCGCGGUAAGACGAAGGAUGCAAGCGUUAUCCGGAUUCAUUGGGUUUAAAGGGAGCGUAGGUGGACUGAUAAGUCAGUGGUGAAAUCUCCGAGCUUAACUCGGAAAUUGCCAUUGAUACUGUUGGUCUUGAGUACAGUUGCUGUGGGCGGAAUAUGACAUGUAGUGGUGAAAUACAUAGAGAUGUCAUAGAACACCGAUUGCGAAGGCAGCUCACAAAGCUGUAACUGACACUGAGGCUCGAAAGUGCGGGGAUCAAACAGGAUUAGAUACCCUGGUAGUCCGCACCGUAAACGAUGAUUACUCGCUGCUAGGGGGCAACCUUUAGUGGCUUAGCGAAAGCGAUAAGAAUCCACCUGGGGAGUACGCCGGCAACGGUGAAACGUCAAAGGAAUUGACGGNGNGAGAGNGCGAGACGACACGAGGGAGGAGG